rnacentral:lncRNA from 1 species
AUGUAGGUAGUUUUAGCAAAAAUAUUUUGUUUCACAAUAUAAGUAGUUUACAUAUUUCAAUGCACCUUUUUCAUUUAUUGGAUAUUGUGUGACUAAUAAAAUAAUGUUAAGCUUUUUAUAAUUGGUUGAAUUAAUUGAUUAAAUGAUAUAUUUUUUUAGAUAACAACUUUCUAAAUAUUUGUGCUUUUAAGUAAAACUACUUAUAAUUAAAAACAGAGGGAGUAAUAUAUAAUACUAUAAGUUUUGUCAUAGUAACAUUGGAUUUCAGUCUUGGGUCAACACAGUUAAUUGGAUGAACUUUAAUCAUAGUUGAAUACUAAUUAAGUUGUCGAUGUACUUGUGAAUUAUACAUGAUUUUUCUAAGGGUUAGAGCACCCCCAUUAGUGAACUUAUGGGGAAGUUCACACAGAUUCCAAAAAAAAAAAAAAUUAAAAUAAUAAAUAGUGAUGAACUUGUCUCUCUCCACCUCUUCCCAAUAAACCUGAUUCAUCACUGUAGCGCAGGCCUCACCGCACGUGGUAGCCCGCGAUUGGUCCGAAUUUUUUUUUUUUUUAAACAAAAAUCAAACAAAAAAAUAAUAACAAAAAAAUACUUUGUGAAUCCCUUUCAUGGGGUUCACUAAUGGGGGUGCUCUUAGGUUUAUAAUUUAUUUUAACGACAACGACAAUAAUAGUUAGCGGACACUUUGGUUCACAGUUUAGUAUGAUAUUUAUCAAUGUACUUAUGAAAUUAUACAAUGGUUUUUCCAAGUGAUUAGGUUUAUAGUUUCUAUUGUUUAGUGACCACUACCCUCAUAAUUAGCGGCCACUUUUGCUCAUAAUUAUUAGACUACAUUCCAAAAGCCCAAAUCUAUAUUAUGAAAGUCCAUAAGCCCAAGUGUUUUAGGGUUCUAAGCUAGCAGUGACUAUAUAUAUUGUUGUUAUGAAAGUCUUGUAAGCAACCUUGCUGCUCAUAGAAGCAGCCUCCAUUAAAGACUUUAUGAAAUCAAACAUUUGUUUUAGUUCUUGAAGACAAACACACAGCUUCUCCUUUUCUUUAUUUCUUUGCACAAUAAAGCUCUUUGAGCUAUGUCUUUCUCUCUUUAGUUUGUGUCUCAAUAAGUUCUUCUAAAACACAAAUCUCUCUUAUUCUCAAAUGUUAUCAUGGUAUCAGAGCACCAGGGAGUAGAUCUUUGGAUCUAUGGGUUCUUUCUUUCCCAAGCUUUCAACAUACGACAGUUUCUACACUAAAGCUUCAAACUUUCCAAGUUUUCUUGUUUCAAGCAGUCAAACAAGACAGGGCUCGUCAACUACAAGCUUCGUUCAGAAAAAGUUGAAGACAUCAACGACUGAAUAUGAAGAGAAUCCGACAACAGCAACAACAUAUGAAGAGGUGAAGAAGGUUUCUGUAGAAGAUGUUCCAGAAGUUGUCUCUUAGUGAAAACCCAUGUCUGCAAAUCAGCUAUGUGGUGGUGAGAGCAACGUCCAUUCAAAGAAAAUCAGAGAUUGUGGAAGGUAACGCAUCUGGUUUCUCUUCUAAGACAGAAACUGAAGUAGUUUGUUGAGUUGUUGGCAUGGCUUGAAAAAAAAAAAGAAAAGGAAGGGGUUUUAGUGGGGUAUAGAAUCAUGAAGGAAAAUGAAUUAGGAUAUACUUUGGUUUGAUUAUGCUGGGUUUGUGGCUUAUAGAUUCUGGUCUAGCUGAAUGCACACAAGAUGUUUGCUAAAAUGCCAAAGAGAACAACUGAUUGUCAAAGUGCCGUGGUUUGGUUUUUAAUGGGAGAGAGUGAGUGAAGGUUUAUAAUUUGUGGGAAGCAAGUUCUCUAAGCCAAGAAAUAGCUUAGUUGAGUUAGGAGGAAAAGAAAACCCCAACUCAUUGUGAGACAAAUAGGUCAAAAGAACCUGAAGAUGUUCUCACACUAAUGUCUAGUCCAAGCUUUAGAGUAAUCUCAGCCUACUGCAUAUGGUUCCUUGACUGCUCAUGCUCCUGUCAUCCUCAUUUGCGGUUCAAACUUGGUUUCUUAGCUUCACCCGACACCAAGUUUGCGGGGGGAUAUUAGACUACAUUCCAAAAGCCCAAAUCUAUAUUAUGAAAGUCCAUAAGCCCAAGUGUUUUAGGGUUCUAAGCUAGCAGUGACUAUAUAUAUUGUUGUUAUGAAAGUCUUGUAAGCAACCUUGCUGCUCAUAGAAGCAGCCUCCAUUAAAGACUUUAUGAAAUCAAACAUUUGUUUUAGUUCUUGAAGACAAACACACAGCUUCUCCUUUUCUUUAUUUCUUUGCACAAUAAAGCUCUUUGAGCUAUGUCUUUCUCUCUUUAGUUUGUGUCUCAAUAAGUUCUUCUAAAACACAAAUCUCUCUUAUUCUCAAAUGUUAUCAAUAAUUAUACAAAAAUUAUCGAUGUACUUGUGAAUUACAUUAUUUUUCAAGUAAUUAGGUUUGUAGUUUCUCUUAGUUAAUGACCACUACAAUAGUAAUAAUUAACUACCACUUUUGCUCUGGAAAUCAUGAUUUGCGUAGAUCCCGGUUAGCUGGAUUUCUCAAAAUAUUAUAUUUCACGUGCUAUUCUAAAUCGUGCUCACCAGAUUAUAUAUCUCAUCUAUAAUGAUUUUGUAUGUUGUAGUGAGUUAAUGUGGAUCCAUUUUCUUUGGUUAUUAUUUUGUUUGUUUUAUAUAUCUCAUCGUGGUCUUCUUCACCUUCGAGGGAUAUGAUUUUAAAUCAAAGAUUCGAGUCAAAUUAGACUUAUUUUAGUACACCAUGAAAGGUAUUUUAUUUCUUAUCUUCCAAAACAAUUUUAAAAUAAAAGUUGUAGCGAUACUAAUAAGCUGCUGGGUUCUAUUUUUACGUUUCAUCCCGUUGGUUUAAAUCACGAUGGUAAUGUGAUAGCGAGAUACUGAUAACAUGCAAAAGCUAUUUUCACACCCAAACUUCAACAUUAACAAAUGGCCAGAGUUGUUAUACUGUUUAGACAUAGGAUUCGGUCACGUCAGAAAGAAAACAAAGAAGAUUUAGGAUUCGUCUCUUGAUUAAUAAUCAGUACCAGUGCGAUAUCUUUAGUGGAAGGCUGAUAUGCAGAAUUUUUUUACCUAACUCCAUCAUACACUUUUAUAUGACUGGGAGCAAAUAAUGUAAGUUAAUAAUUAAGUGAUGCUUUUGAGACAUAAUCUAAGGAAUAAAAUGUAGUUUUGCUUCGUCGUUCCCAAAUCCCAAUGUUAAAUGGGUUGUUAACAUAUUUACUAUGAUUAACAUUUGAUUACCACAUAAAACUGAACUCGUGGUAGCUCCAAAGCAUUAAGAAAACCUUUGCACCAGUCUCUAAUCCAUCCAAAUAAACUUUAAUCACAAAGUUAACAUCUCACCAAUAUAGUUGUUGUUAAAAACAAAUUUUCUUUGUUUUUAUAUUCAAUAUCAGCUACAUAGAUAGAACAGAAAUAUUUACACAUGAUUUGACAAUACCUACCAAAAUGUUUGGGGGAAAAUACAAAGCAAAAUCAAAUCAAACCAAAUAUAACAGAGACAUUUUUGGUCUUCACGGACGGAUCUAUUCAUGUCCUCUACUUUUUAGCUGAUUUUUUUUUUUAAUUCAGAAAUAAAAUAAUGGAGGCGUGGCUACACACUUGACUGAAUAUGAAACAUGCAUGAAUAUUUUCGGGCGAUGAGACAUGUACGAAAAUGACAUUUAAUGAAAGCUAAAAUGAUAAAACUAAUAACUAAAAAAAAAUAGUAAAAAUCAAAAGUUUUAAGGAAAAUAAAUAAAGUGGGGGAGAUAUAUAGGAAAAGAUAUUAUUGGGUGCGGAAUAAAAGAGAGAAUGGAAGAUAUCGUUGUCCAUUAACCAUUCAUUAUUAUUCGCUCGUGCUUAAUUAAUUAAAAUUAAUAAUAAAAAUAAAAAAUUAAAGUCAUGAUCGGAUCAAGAGGGUAAUCAACGGCUCAGAUUCAUUCAAACCAGAAGACACAAAAACAUGGCUCUCUCUCUCUCUAUUUCCCACUUUUCUCCCGGAGACAGUUAACUUGAUUCGCUCUCUCCUCUUUGCCUAAUCGCAAAACGACAAACACGAGAGAGAGAGAGAGAGAGAGAGAGAGAGAGAGAGAGAGAGAGAGAGAGAGAGAGAGAGCGAUUUGCUACUUAGAUAGAGCGAGAGAGAUAGAGAGAGUGUGCGAGAGUGAGUGAAUCGCUAAGAGAAGAGAUGACACCUAGCGGAGGAGGAGUGGAAGAACCGGCGACGGCGUCAGAUGCGGAGGGUUCGGCGUUAGUGAUAAUCGGGGUGAAGCCCGACGAAUGGAGCCGAGAGGUGCUAACGUGGUCUUUAGUGAAUGUAGCUCGUCCCGGAGAUCGAAUCGUUGCUCUUCACGUUCUCGACUACUCUCUCGGUUUCUACCUCGUUUUAGAUCUCUCUCUCUCUCUCUGUUUAUUUUGUUUUUUUUUUAAUUUAUGUUUUUUUUUGUUAUUGUUGUGCAGAAGGCUCAACGUCGCUUGUUUCGCUGGUUAGGACUUUCGACACUAUGCUUGGUGUCUAUGAAAGCUUCUGCAACUUAAAACAGGCAUGUUUCGUUUUAUUCUUAUAAAAGUGGAAACUUUGAGGAUAGGUUUAGUGAAAAUUCGAUUGGAUGUUUGUAAACAGGUGGAUUUAAAGUUAAAGGUUUUCAGAGGGAAGUCAGCGAGGAAAGUUCUUGUUCAGGAGGUGAAAUCCUCCGGAGCUACAAGUUUAAUCGUAGGUUCUUCGAAGAGACAUCAUACGAUCCGUUCUUCAGCUUCCUUAGCUAAGUACUGUGCGAGGAAUCUUGCCAAGGAUGUCUCUGUUUUCGCUGUUAAGAGUGGCAAGAUUAUGUUCCGGAGGGUGCCUAGUAACAAUGGUAUGUUAAGGGUUAGAUGAUUACUUGGGUUUGUUCUCUGUUUAGAUAAAGAAAGUUUUGUGCUUUCAAUGUGUAGAUGGACCACACAUGAUUGUUCCCUGUGGAUCACCCAACGUUGCUAUUGAAGCGGCAAAGAUUGUGAACAGCUUUAGCCCUGCAAGGACGAGCUCACGCUGGAGUACAAAACCUAGUCGCACUUCAUCAUUACAGUCUACUGAAAGCUCAGGUGUAGACAAUUCCUUGGCUUUAGUGCCAGUACAAACGAACGAGACUGAGUCAGGACAAGGUUGGCAUUUCUUCCGGGGGUUUUACGGUAAACGAAGUAGCUGGACCAAAGUCUCUGCUAAGAGGGCUGUGCUUCAGUGGGUUUCGAGGCUAAGGGGUCGAAACUCAGAAGCUGUAGCGUAUCUUGACAGGAAACGGAGUGAUUCUGGUUGUGAUGAAGAUUGCUCUUCUAGCGUCGACGGUGAAGACGUCUCCGUUUCACGAUCUGGUUCUGAGCAUAUGCUGUCUCCUCUUUCUCCCUGCCUUGGAUCAGACAACGUUCCGGAGGAGCUGGAGGGUCUACAUGAAAAAUACUCCUCCACGUGUAGAUUGUUCACAUACGAUGAAGUUGUGACAAUUACCUCAAACUUUGCAUCCGGUAUGUCCCUUUCCUUGUUCUAACAUUGGGUUUGGUUUUGGCAUGAGUUCGCUAAUGGAUACAUCUUUUUUUUUUCUUCUGUUUCCAGAUAACUUGAUUGGAGAAGGUGGUAAUAGUUAUGUUUAUAGAGGAGACUUAUCAGAUGGGAGGGAACUGGCAGUCAAAGCAUUGAAGCCUUGUCUGGAUGUGUUGAAAGAGUUUAUACUGGAAAUUGAAGUCGUUACAAGUGUGCAUCACAAGAAUAUAGUGUCACUCUUUGGUUUCUGUUUUGAGAACAAUAAUUUGAUGCUGGUGUAUGACUAUGUACCACGAGGAAGCCUUGAAGAAAACCUGCAUGGUAUAUAAACUGCAUUUUCAAAUUCCCUCUGGAUUCUCAUUUGAAUUAUCUAUCUUGAUUGUUCUCAUUUAUUGGUUCAGGUAAUAGAAAGGAUGCCGCCACCUUUGGCUGGCUGGAGAGAUAUAAAGUGGCAGUGGGUGUUGCAGAGGCGUUAGACUAUCUACAUAAUACUCAUGAUCCAGAAGUGAUUCACCGGGAUGUCAAAUCUUCUAAUAUUCUUCUGGCAGAUGAUUUUGAGCCACAGGUACUGACUGAUACAUUUCAAUCUCAAUCUUAGUGUUCAUUCACAGAUGCAAUGAAAAAAAAAAUUGAUCUUAAUUUUUGUGACUGACACUGAAAUUAUUUACUGGUUCAGCUCUCAGAUUUCGGAUUUGCCAGCCUGGCUUCAAGUGCUGCACAGCAUGUGUCAUGUGGGGGUAUUGCGGGAACAUUUGGGUAUUUAAUUUGUAUCUUUAGUCCUUCCCUGAUAACCAUCAUCACUCUAUUAAUCAUCCUCAUUAAACUUUCACGUUUCUUUUGACAGUUACCUAGCACCAGAAUACUUCAUGCACGGUAAAGUAACCGACAAGAUUGAUGUCUAUGCGUUUGGUGUUGUAUUGCUCGAGCUCAUAUCGGGUAGAAAACCAAUUUGCGUUGACCAAUCUAAAGGCCAGGAGAGCCUUGUCAUGUGGGUAAGCAUAGUAGUCCAUAACUUUCACAUUUUUCUAUCCUGCAAAUUAUGCCAUUGGGAGAAGCAAUGUUACUCUUUGAAAUGACUAAACUGCAUCUCUUUCCCAGGCAAAUCCAAUCCUAGAGAGUGGCAAGUUUGCUCAGUUACUGGAUCCAAGUCUAGAAGCUGAUGAUAGCAGUAAUGAUCUAAUCGAGAAGCUUUUGUUAGCUGCUACACUAUGCAUUAAACGCGCACCUCAUGACCGUCCACAAAUUGGCCUCGUAAGCUACAUCUCUACUUUCUUUGCUUCUAAUUGCUCUGUUUUGGGGGGGUGAUGUUAAUUCAUUAUUAAAUUACAGGUGGUAAAGAUAUUACAAGGCGAUGAAGAUGCAACGGAAUGGGGAAAGCAACAAGUAAAAGCCUCAGAAGAUGCAACGGCGUACUUGACAAACAUAGAAUCACACAUAAACCUUGCGUUGCUUGAUUUGGAAGAUGAUGCAGCUUCCGAUAGUAGCCCUGAAGCUAGUAGUAUCUCCGUUGAGGACUACUUGAAAGGGAGAUGGAGCCGCACUGCUAGCUUCAGCUUCAACUAAUAAUUAAUUAAUAGUUUAAUAACUAGAUUUUAGCUGUUUUGACGAUGCAAGUUGUGUGUAAAUUUGUAAUGGAUUUUUCUAAGGUUUUCAAGAAUGCGUCAGUUUAGAAAGAGUGAAGAGCUCUUGUAGAGAGGCCACCAGAGUAUUGACUUUGUGUUCUUUGUGUUUGUGAAGAGUAGAAAAUGUUUUAUUGUUUUUUGAAUGUUUUUUUUGCUUUGUGUAUACAACGUUCUUUCCACUUGUUUUUUUUUCUCUCUUUCCAGUUCGGUUUUAAGGAUACAAAUUGUAAGCAUUUCCAGUUCGGUUUAAGAUUCGAUAUGAAUAGAAAUUGUAAUUCUGGUUUACUUUUAAACCGUAUCAAGGAAUUAGAGUUUAGUUAAGCCCUCUUACACCAGCAGCCCUAGGAAACCCAAAAAAAAUUAUCACAGAUCUUCUGACUUCUGUAUAGAUCAGAUAAUCAAACAUUAAGAUACUAGAAAUAUUAUAUUAUCGAACAAAGGAUAUAGUAACCUAAAAUCUUUGGAUAAGUCAUGAAUUUGUUAAGGUUUCUCGCUGGAACAGAGGUAUAUAGAGGAAGGAUGAACAUCUAAUGCAGAGUAGUUCCAGUUAGAAGCAAAAUAUGACACAAGUGAUCUGUGAAGAUAGAAAGAUUGAGUUCAAAACAAGAAGAUGCAAAAUAUAUAAUAACAACUGAGAAGCAGGGCCGUCCCAUAAUUUUGAGUGGCCUAAAGCAAAAAAAAACUUUUUGUGGCCUCUUAUACAAAUACCAACAAUAAAUAGUAACAAACAACCCAUACAAAAGUACAUCGAAUGGUAAAAAAUUAAAACUAUAUUGGAAAAAAAGAAGAUAUAACUACGAUAUGCUCAGUUACAAAAAAAAAAAACUACGAUCUCCUAACUCAAAUUAAACUAUUAAACCAUCUGACCUAAACUAAUAUUCAGUGACAUGUGGCCUUAAUGUUUUGUUUAUAUUUUGUGGCCUAAAGCAGAUGCUUUAGUUGCCUUAUAGCAGGGACGGGCCUGCUGAGAAGGAAAAGGUCUAGGAACCUCAUGACUCAUGAGAACAUGUUCUGAGGCAUACCACUAUAUUCCUCACAUAUUCACAUCACGUCUAACUUGACAGAGUCAUAUGCUCAAUGUAAAUCUCCAGUAGUAGAACAUCAUUACUCCUUAAAGGCAGAUCAAGUCCAUAAGGCACAAUUAGAAAAUGUUUCAACGUGAACAAUUUUUGAUAAACAGGUAGAGUCGUAUUCUCUAUGUGUCGUACAUUCCUCUGUUCGUUCAAUAUAUGUGCCUGAGCCCAAAAUAUUGAUUUUGCUUCUGCUAAGUUAAGCGUGUCCAUAGGAUUAAUGUCGAGACUACUAAAUUUUUUAUUAUUCCUUCCUUUCCAAAUUUACCGUAGUAUCCAUGAAACUUGACGAUCAUCCAUCGCGGGAAAACUCUCCAGAAGUGAUGAUCCAUAUUUGUGAAGAGAGAGUUUGUUGGAAAAAUAGCUAGAUUUGAAGGUAUCUUUGAGAGAUCUGAAACCUGAAGUGCUGGAUGACAUUAAAAACACACAUGGUUUAUCGAUUCUUCAUCGACUCCACACCGUGCACAACGUAUAUCCCCAUGUAUUUCCCGCGCUUGCAGCUUCUUCUUGAUUGCUAUACACUCUGUCACCAAUUGCCAUAGAAAAUAUUUUAUCUUUGGUGGACACCACAUUUUUCAACAAAACGCCUUCAAUGCAUCAACCGUGAGUCCAAACAUUAAUGGUGGUUUGUCCCUGUCUUGGUAAACCCGUUCUACCUGAUAUCUUGAUUUAACCGUAUAUUUUCCAUUGUUUAUGAAAUGAUUCAUCCCUAUAUACUAUCUGAGUUCUGCUCAGUGGUAUGCUUUCUAUAAUUUUAAAAUCAUCUGGGUCCACCAAAGUCUGAAGUGCCUUCGAAUUCCAAGUUCCCGAAAUAGAAUCAAUGAGAGAAUCCACGGUGAAGUAUGGGUACUAGUUGUGUUGGUUUUUACUAGCUGGUCUCGGACGAGUGAUUGGGAACCAUGGAUCGUUCCAUACAUCUAUAGAUGAUCAUUACCCCACCCUUUUAAUUACUUACUAGAGUUUAUUCCGCACAUCAUGCGGGUAUAUUUUAUUUUAUAAAUAUUUAAUUUUGAUAUUAUUAUAUAAAUCUAAAUAUACAAUUUAUAUCUUAGUGUUAUAUAUUUUAUAACAUUUUAAUUUUAUUGUUUAGAUUUCUUAUUAUUUUAUUAAUAUAGGAGUUUGUUUAAUACAUUUUACUUUUUUUAUUACGUUUUCAAGUUUUCAUAAUUUCAAAUAAUCAAAUAAAAAAUAUUUUUCAACAUAUGAUUUUUGAAAAUAUAUAGCUGUAGAAAUAAAUUUUUAACAUAUGUUAAUAACUUCAUUUGUAUAAAAAAAUCUGACAUGAUUAACAAAUUGAACCCGUUUUAGUGGUAGAUGAUAAUUUAUUUAAAUGAAAGCAUUAUAUUACAUAAUUACGAAAUUCAUUAAUGCAAUAUUUAAUAAAAAUUAUUUCAAAAUUUAGUAGGAUUUUGUUAGAUUUUUCUCAACAGAUUUUGUUAUAACUGAAAAUAAAAUUCAAAUAUAUAGUUAAAAUUAAUUUAUUAUUAAUAUUCCUAUUAAUUAUUAUGUCAUAUUAUGUGAUUAAUGAAAUGGUCCUAGUAGACUUCUAUAUAAUAGAUAAAAAUGGUACUUCUCUUUUAAUAGAGAAGAUUUGCUUACGAGAGAUCUAGCAGAUCUCUAAAAACUAGUAAAUGUUAGUAAUUUAUUAACAAUUUUACUUUUAAAAUUUAAUAAAUAUAUAAGUUUAUUUUUAUUUUUAUUAAUUUUAGAUAAUAAAAUAAAAAUAAAAAUAUUUUUACAUAAUAAUAUAUAGUAAUUUUUGGAUAAUAACAUAAUAGAUAAUAUUGUUAGAUAAUGAUAAUAUGAUGAAUAAAUCUAGUUGAUCAUUAAACACAACUAAUAUAUGAAUUAUCUUUUAUUUUUUAAAAAAAUAUUUUAUAUAUUUUUAGAUAAUUUUUGUAGGAUAGCACUAAAAAAGAAUCAAAAUGAACAAAAUGUUUCAUUAAAAAGGUAAUUAUACAUUUAUACCCCUAGGGUAAACUAAUCAAAACCUUAGGGUUUAUAGUUGAGGGGUGUGGAUUUGGGUUUGAGGUUUAAAAUUUUAUAAAAUAGAAAAUAAAUCUUAAAAAUUUUAAAACAAAAUUUUUAAAAAUAGUUUGAAAAAGUAUUUUCGAAUUACAAAAAAAAAAUUCAAAAAAAAUUAUAAGAAAGUUCGUUUUUGAAAAUAUUUAAUCUAAAACAGAAAUUUUUUUAUAUAUAUUUAGGGUAUUAGUGUCAUUUUACCUAUUAAAUGAAACAUUUUGGUCAUUUUCUUUCGUGUGGUCUAUUUUUGUGACCAAAACUUGAAAAUGAUCUAUUAGGGGUGGGCACUUUACCCGAAAUCCGAAGUGGCACCCGAACCCGAUCUGAAAAACCCGAACCGAAAUCCGAACCGAAGUAGCAAAAUAUCCGAACGGGUAUUGAAUUAGGAGAGAUUGGAUAUCCGAACCCGAACGGGUAAUAUCCGAACCCGAAUGGAUAUCUGAAAAUAACCGAACAUAUGUAUAAUUAACCUUAUAUUUCUAGUUUACAUCUUUCAUUUUAUAUAAAAUAUUUAUAUUGAUACUACACAUACUUUAAAUUCAAAUGAUAUACAUACAAUUACGUAGAAAAUGAUUUGCUAUUCACUUAAAAUUCAUGUCAAACUUUUUAUUUCAACAAUUAACAAAAAGUUACAUCCAAAAUUUAAAAACAAUAACCAAAUUAAUGUCUUUUUAGUUUGAAAAUGUUAUGUCUAAAUCUAUUAACCAUUCAAUCUAUUAAAAAAUAAAAAAAUUAGUUAAGUGAAGUUAUAUAUUUAAAUACAAGAAAUUUGAGAAAUGAAAAUUUUCAUUUUUUUCUUCAAAAUCUAAAUAUCCGAACCCGAUCCGAAAUAACCGAAACCGAACUAAAAAUAUUCGAACCCGACCCAAAAUACAGAAAUAUCCGAACGGGUUCUACACCUCUAUACCGAAAUACCCGAAAAUCCGAAAUACCCGAUCCGAACCCGAACGGGUACCCGAACGCCCACCCCUAUGAUCUAUUUAUGAGAAUUGUCCUAAUUUUUGUUACUUUAAAUUAAAAUUCGUUUUUUUUUGCUAAUUUCUAUUAUAUUAAUUUAUAAUCAAUAAUAAAUUAUAAAUCUAAUAAAUUUUUUUAAUUAUUUAUUAAGGGUAGUAACGAUCAGUUCUACUUUUUAAUGUGAGAACUCGAAUGUGAAAAAUCAAUUUGUAAAUAAUAAUAAAGAUAUAUCAUUUAAAUUCGGAUACUUAAACAAUAUAUCAAUAUUCAUGGCAUAUUCUCUUUGUUAGUUAAAGAAAUUAGAGAUAAGAAUUUAUUAUGAACACAAUUUUGUAAAUACAGUUACAAAAAAAAUAUAAAUUUAUUACUUAUUCUACACGUAUUAUGCUUCCUACAAAUACAGAUCUACAACGUUUUCAUUUGCAUGUUUGGAUUUUUCACAAGAAUAACAAUAUUGUACCAUAGACUUCGAGAUUUUGAUUUCUGUUAAUAUAUAGGGGACGUAACACAUAUACCCAUCAUUUGAGACAUUAUCAUGAAACAAAUUGUACACUUAUUUUUCCUUUGAAACCCAAAUUUCGCACCUAAAUUUGUUACUAAUAAAUUAGAUUUUCUUCAAUAAUUAUGAAAUUUAAUAUCAGAUUUAUAUAAUGUGGUGUUGAAAUAUUCGUUUUACUGAUUACGGUCUGCGCUCAAGAUGAAAAGAAAAAUAUCUGGUUUAAUACACCGGAGAAAUAUCAAUAGCCGUUUAUAGCUUGAGCAACAAGUCAUUUGGUAAUUGACUUGUCAACUCAUGACCUCAACCAAUCAAAGAUCUGGCGAGGAACAAAAAAAAUAGCAAUAAAGCGUACGUUGGUCAUCGCAUUUUUCUCAUCUUACUCCAACAGAUUCAAUCCUUUGUGCAUCUUCUGGCUUAUAUCCUCCAAGUCAAUAACUUGAUGAGGCAUAUCGUUGCUUUUUACUGCCUUUAUUUCUUCUAGCUCUCGAGUCAAUUCAGCAAUCUGUUUCUGUAUUUUCGCUCCUCUGUCAGGUAAACUUGCGACCAUACUCUGCGACAUAUGAAACCCAAAAACAAAGACUUAGAGAAACCUGAAGCUUUACUAGAUAUUACAUUGGCAUAACAAGUAUUGGUUGAUGAUGUCUUUACCUUGUUCUGGAAUAGCAUAGAUAGUCUACUGAUUCUUGCUUUAAUCUCGCUUUCCGACCAUUCACUCUCAUCGAUUGGAGAAAUGUUGAUUCUCUUGUCCAAAUUCACGUCCUUUGGUUUGAAAGCAUACACAGCCCUGACAGAAACAAGUUCUUCAAAUCGAUGAGAUUAUAGAAAAACACAACAGUUUAAUUUGACAAAAGGUUGUGGAUGUACCCAUUGAUCAUGUUUUCCUGUGAAGAUUUUGCUGAUGGACCUCCCACGAAUGAUGUUGUUAUUCUCCUUUUUUGCAUCAAAUAUUUACGAAAUAAUCAUAAUCAGGAUGUGCAGAUGAAGAAAGUCUACUCUGUUUUAUGAAUAAGAGGAAAGAGAAGUUUCACCUUAUUUCUUCUACUUCGUCCUGUUGUAUAGGUUGAAUAGGAGCAGUCUUGGAGAAGAGUAAGCUGUGAUGACUCACUCCAGCUAUACCCAGAGUUUCCAGGAACUUAACAUGUGAUUCCAGAGUUUCAUCUCUACAGAAACAAACAAGCAAAAGUGAAUCAACUCAGAACACUUUCUUUUCUCUUUUAUCAGAAUCAAUGAUUUCCUUACAGUUUGAUCUGGUUGUAAUGCUCUUCGUAUAGUUGCUGUUGUGUAGGUGAAACAUCAAAUCCUCCCUUAGGAAGACUGAAAAGUUCUCGAAGGUCCUGAGAUAUACAAAAAAAAAUUUUUUGGUAAAACGAUUAGAAAGUAGGAUAACAAUUAGACCACCAUUGACAACAGAACUGCGACUAAACCUGUUGGCUGAAAUAGCGGAUUUGUUCUUUUUGCUCAGUCGCGGUUUUAAACAAGCCUCCCUUGUAAACCUACAAAAGCAAAUACCAUUGGCAUUACAUCAUACAAAAUGAUCAUAUCAAAUCACUCAGCUAACCAAAGAAAAAAGAAAAAAAAAUCUAACAGACCUGCUUUCGGUAAAUCUUUUCUUCGACAGUUGCUGAGGUCAUUAACCUAUACACAAUGACAUCCUUCGUUUGCCCAAUUCUGUAUGCUCGAUCAACGCUCUGGUUGUCAGUACUGUACAGAAAUCAGAAAAUUAUGUCAUGAACAUAUAUUUUCAAUAGAGUAAGAAUAUCAAACAGUUUUCAAAACAAGGAAGUACCUUGGAUUCCAAGCCGGGUCAACCACAAUCACGCGGUCUGCCUUUGUCAAAGUAAGGCCGAGACCACCUACUUGAGAUGUGAGAAGAAAUAUAGGCGCCACAUGACCACUUUGAAAUUCCUGUAAUAGAUUAAGGUUUAAAAGAACUGUGAUAGCAUGAAGACAAGAGGGAAUAACUAAACUCAAAAUGAAAUGUAAUGUUAGAAAAACUCACUUCAACAGUCUUCAAUCUGUCAAGGCCUUUUGUUGUACCAUCAAUCCGCAAGAAACUAUAACCGUUGGAAGUAAGAGAAUCCUGAAAAUGCCAAACGCAACCUGUAAAGAAUCCAUAAAAUUUCAAGGAUAAUCGUUAAGGGUGAAGUUGGGAGCAAACCUGAAUGAGAUUUAGCAUCUUGCGUGUCUGGGAGAAGAUUAGAACACGGUGCCCUUCUGGAAUCAAAUUUUCCUAAGCAAAAACCGAAGCACAAAAUGUCAGUCGAACAGAAAAGCAUCAAAAUGAAUGUCACCAACUGAACCAUAUAUGUGAUCUAACCAGUAGUGACAUGAUAAAUGUCAAUUUGCAAGAGAUACUGUCAUUCUUGGUCUGAAAAUCAUCUGUAUCCACAUUGUCUGCAAUAUGCAUAGCCAAUCUCUCUGCCACGCCUGCUUCUUCCUGUGUUAAUGUUGAUUCCAUUCCUUCGAGGACGUCCUCAGCAGCCCUCUUAGUCAAGAGAAGCGGAUGAUCACAUAUUUUCUUCAAAAUCUAUUUAUAACAAAACAGCCAAUGUAAGCUCCCAGAUAUUGAACAGACAAGAUUUGUAACAGAAAUAUAUGUUUGAAGCAUUAAAACACAGAAGAAAGGAAACCAUUUUCCCAAGUAACAUAUAGCCUAAGCAAAAUGGAUAGAUAUCUGAAAUUGAGACCACGUUUAUAUAGAGGUUAAUUGUUAGUAGUUUUUGGCUUUUGCUUUUCAACCAACCAAGAUUUUUUUUUUUGAUGAAAUUUAAAAUUUAUUGAUCCAUCGGGAAAUAAUGUUAUGUACAAGGUACAAAUAUUGAACUAAGUUUCCUCUAUGCUAUGGUAUGAUAAAUAAAGAAUGAUCUGAUCUAGAGAGUGGCCUCGAACCAUCGCGUUAAUAGUCCUCCGUAUUUGUGGUCCGGUUUAUAUCGAAGGGAGACAAUCCUAUUUCUCAUGGCUUUGUCAAUCCUUCUUCUCAUCUGAUCAGUACUCAUACCAGGCUGUUGGUGGCGCCUAGCAUUCCUCUCCCUCCAUACAUGAUAGACUGUACUCUGGAAUAACAUUCUUGCAAGUAUGGUAUCCAAUCUCUUAUCGGUCAUACGCUGCAGUCGAGUAAUGGUCCACUGCCAAUCUGGAUUGAUUCCAUUUCCAACAAGCCGGCGUGCAAGCACUUCCCAAACUGUGUAUGAAUAUGGACAGGAAAAAUAAAGAUGAUCUCUAGUCUCGUCUCUUUCUCCACAGAACACACAUCCCUGCACCAUCCCCCACUGUCUCAUUCUAUCCCCUGUAGACAAUCUGUUCUUGAUAGCUAACCAAAGGAUGAAGGCGUACCUUGGAACGCCUUGUGGCAACCAAACCACUUUGCUCCAAGGAACUUUAUCUCUUUUAACCCGCACUUGAUCCCAAGUUCUUGAUGCUGAGAAUGUAGGCAAGUAAUCAUCCUCCCCAUUCUUCCAUAGUACUAUAUCAGUACCAUUCUCAGGUUUAGGAGGAGUGAUUGCCAAGAUGCUGCGAUAUAGCUCCUGAAAACGUCGACAUCUCUGCCCUCUGACGGCCCAACCCUCCAUGUUCACAGCAUCACUUACUCGAGCAUGUCGUAAAACUCCAAGAUAAGUGGUUCCAGUUGCGCCUGUGAUAUCGAUCAAACGUCCCUUCUCCGUCCAGUUAUCAAACCAAAAGUGGCAUUUCUGGCCGUCUCUAAUGUCAAUUCUAAGAAAAUCAUAUGCCUCAUUCCUUAACUUCAGCAAUUUCCUCCAUAUCCAGGAACCUUUAGAAUCAUCUCUAACAUCCCAGAAAGAAUUAUACUUGAGGAGAUAAUGCGUUACCCAGCUUACCCAGAGAGAUGACGAUUGAGUGAAUAUUCGCCAUAUGAGCUUCAUAGCAAAUGCCUUGGCUGAAUCCCGCAACUUUCGGAUCCCUAGUCCCCCCUCCUCCUUCGGAAAACAAAGAUCCUCCCAGCUCACCUUUGCCUUGUGAGUUUGUGUAGGCGAUCCAGACCAUAGAAAAGCGCUACACAUACUCUCAAUAGUGUCAAGACACUUGGCAGGUAAGAUGAAUGCAGAACUCCAAAAAUUAACAGUACUAGAUAUGACUGAUUUUAUAAGUUGUAAUCUGCCUGCAAAUGAGAGAGCUCUGUUAGACCAGCUAAGCAUCCUCCCUCGAAUCUUGUCUAUCAGUGGCUCAUAGUCAUGACUAGUAAGAGAUUUCGUAGUCAGUGGCAUGCCCAAAUAACGGAUAGGCAACGUUCCAACUCCAAUACUCAAAGCCGCUGCCGCGUCUAGAAGUGGAUUCAGAUUAUUUCCGGAAGCAUAGAGUGAAGAUUUAGCUACAUUGAUUCGCAAACCUGACAUGCGUGCAAAUCGGUUCAUGACUCCAAUGACUCCCAAGAGCGACUCUGGCGUGCCAUUGGUGAAAACCAGUAUGUCAUCGGCAAAACUGAGAUGCGUAAGCUGAACCCCCUGACACUGUGGGUGGUAGUCAAAUUCGCCUGCUUCUGCUGCCUCAUUCAAUAGUUUCGAAAGAACAUUACUGAGAAUGACGUACAGGUAUGGUGAGAGAGAACAACCUUGGCGUAUUCCUCUGGCACUUGUGAAAAAGCCCUCCAGACUCCCGUUAACUGACACCGAGAAUGCAGCCGUAGAGAUACACAACCUGAUCCAAUGAAUGAACUGUGAGGGAAGCCCCAUCGCUUGUAGAACCGAGAUAAUGAAGGACCAUUUCACUGUGUCGAACGCCUUCGAAAUAUCAAAUUUGAUGGCACACUUCUCUUUCUUUCCAUUCCUGUGAUAACCAUCCACUAAUUCCGAAGCUAGUAAGACGUUUUCCAGGAGAAGCCGCUCAGUAAUAAACGCACACUGAUUCCUCUCAACAGCAUCCGGGAAAAUAAUCUUCAGCCUGUUAGCAAGAACUUUAGAUAUCACCUUAUAUAAUAGAUUGCAGCAAGCAAUGGGCCUGUAAUCUUUCAUAGUCUGCGCAUUUAUAGUUUUAGGGACCAGAGUGAGAAUAGUAGCAUUUACUCCUGUGGGCAUGAAACCGAAGAGAAAAAAAGAUUGCACUGCAACAAUGAAAUCCCUUCCUACUAUAGGCCAAGCAGCUACAAAAAAUUCCUUUGUGAACCCAUCAGGUCCUGACACCUUAUCAUUAGGAAGGGUGUGAAGCGCCUGUUGAAUUUCAGUAGAUGUGACAGGCCCUACUAAAACAGCCGCUGCUUCCCUUGAGCAUCUAUACGUCAACAAUGUCUGUAAUGAUGCCACUGAGACGUCUUCCGUUGUAGGAUCCUGACUCUGUAGAAAGCUUUGAAAAUGAUUGACCGCCUCCCUUUUGAUAUCAGGUAGAGAAGUGAGAACUUCGCCUUGUGCAUUGAUAAGACAUCGAAUAGUAUUCCUGGCUACCCGAGUUUGUACCAUAGAGUGAAAGAACUUAGUAUUUUGAUCCCCAGCACCCAGCCACCGUACACACGAUUUCUGCCUAUAAAACUUUUCUUCUAUGCGAGCAAGCUUACUCCACUUCUCCUCCGCUGCCGCUGCUCGAGCAAUGUUUGCUGGAGAGGGGUCAAGAAGUACUUUGUUUUGCCAAUCACAAAGUUCCUCAUAUGCUUGCUUUGUGCGAACUGGGAGGUCGCCAUAGUGAGUUUUAUUGAGUGCUCGAAGAGGCUGCUUGAGGAGCUUUAACUUCUGAUGGAAUCGAGUCAGAGCUGUUCUGGAAUGAAACAAAGCUGCCGAAGUGUCCCAAACGCCUUUGAUAGUAGGAAGGAAAUCGUUGUGUUCCGUCAAGUAGUUGAAGAAACGGAAUGGUUUCCUUGCUUCGUUAGUGGUACCAGUAAGUGUUAUCAGGCAUCUCGCAUGAUCGGAAAUGCCUCCUGCAUCAAAGUGAGCACAAGAUUGAGGAUACCGACUCAGCCAUUCUUGAUUAACCAACGCUCUAUCCAGUUUUUUGCCAAUUGGGUCCCCUUCUCUUUUAUUCCACCAAGUAAACAUGGCCCCUGUGUACGGCAAAUCCAUCACUGAACAAUCAGUUGUAGCUUCCUGAAAAUGUCGCAUACCUACUUGAUCAGUACGAUAAUCCAGAGCACGGGAAUGUUCACUAGAAGCUAGUGUGACAUUAAAAUCUCCAAGUAAAAUCCAUGGGAGUGCCAGAUGACUAUAUGCAGCCCGUGUACCCCGCAACUCCUCCCACAGCUGCACCCUCUCAGCGGCAGUAUUAAAAGCAUAUAUAGCAGAGCAGAUAAACUGGUCCCCUGUGCUUGGUAUCUGUAUUGCACAUGUGAUGACUUGAGCACUCAUAUGCAGCUUCGUUACUACAACCUGAGCACUCCAACAAACCCAAAUCCUCCCCAAAGGAUGGUAAGCAUAAUUCGUGAGAGAACUCCACUGCGGUAAUGCCGCUAGCAUACAUCUUUGAUGAUUACCUUCCUGCACCCUCGUUUCCAGUAAACACCCGAACAAAGGCUUCUCAGCUUGAACCCAGGAUCGAAGAGCUCUAUGCUUGCAUGGCAUGUUGAAGCCACGCAUAUUCCAUGCGUAGAAGGACGUCAUAUCUUCCUAACGGAAGAUUUUUUGGAUGUGCCUUGUUUACCCACAUACAACAAAUCCUUAGCACGAAUCACUUUACUACGGGAAGGUUUAUGAGCUGAACCAGCUGCAAUUUUCUUGCCUCUGUGAGACGCCUGCGUCUGUUGCCUGUUCUUCCCCUCUUCUUUACUUUCUAGAAUCUCACCCUCUUCAGUCUCCUUUCCAUACUCAUCUUUAUUAUCCUCCUCUUCUUCCUCAUCAAUGUCCUGUAAGGGACUAAACCGAGAUGGUGAAACCACCAGUUCUUCAUCUGCUACCAAAUCCUUACCCUGCUUCUUCCCUUGAACCAGUGCCCAACCUUCUGCUACAUUUGCCCGAAACGCCUCCGUCGUAGGCUCAGAUAUCUGUAUGGCCUGCAAAUCCCCCAUACCGAAAGUCUUCUUUUGUGCAAUGUCCUCUUUUUGAUGAUCAAUACCCUUAUCAGUCUCUACUAACUCAGCGACUUUAUCAGAUGACGGCUUAGGAGUGAGAGCUUCUAGGUCGUGUAGCAACCUCUCAAUCGUGCCUUCCACACUGAUAGCUUUGCCUCCAUCUUGAGGUAUAGCAGCAAAGUUAGAGCUUAAAGCUUUAUCAUUUUCUUUAGUAAGAAUUUUGAUUUCCUUACUCGAACAAUCCUGACCCUUAUGCCCCCAUUUUUUGCAGACAGUGCAACGUGAGGGCAACCAAGGAAAGGAAACAUCAAUCUCACACGUACGUUCAUCCUUGUCCCGAAAUGAAAUCUUCUCCACCAGCUCUUGAUGAAGAUUAACCUCCACCAGAACCCGAGCAACAUCCAACCGAACACAUUUCUCAGUAUUUGGAUGGAGCUUCACAAAUUUACCCGCUGCUUUAGACAGGCACCUCAAACCUUUGUGGGAAUAGAGAUUAUUAGGUACACCCCUUAAAUCAACCCACAGUGGCAUAGACGAGAGAUCCGGAGGGUUAAGAGCAGACUCCGGUGACCAAACAUUCACAACCAGCGGUAUGUCCGCAAUGUGCCAAUACUUUCUCUGAAUAACUCUGGCUCUCAUCUGACUGUUUUCAAUCCUAAACAAGACUGUAUUCUUCUCAAUGAACUGUACAUCGAUCCUAGUACCACCUUUAGGAGCAGCCCAGAUACGGUUGACAGUAGCGUGGAUUGAACCUACAUGGGGUGCAUCUCCAAUGAAAUAUCCCACAACAUAGCUCUUCCAAAGCAGUUCAGCCUCAUCAAAGAUCGCAUCCGGUAUCGCCAUAGAGGCAACCCCGUUAACGAUAUCAAUAGACGCCUCUGCCUCAACUCCAUCUUGCUGCCUCUUCACCCACGGAGAAGACCUUGUCGGAGCCGGCACAGAACCAGAAUCACCUUGCUCCUUGGAACACACCGGGGCUAUGCCCACCAGUUGAUUCCCCAUUAAACCAUCUUCCACUCCUCCCGUGUGCUUUGGUGAGCCCUCCUCCUCGCAAAUCUUACUCACCUCAACCAAACCCAUCUCCUCCCCUCCCGAUGUCUCCUUCGUCCUCUCCAGAUCCGGUAUCGACCUAGAGACCAAUCGUGCUUCUCCAUCCGUGAGAUUUUCUCCGUCGCCGUCGCCUAUUAGGGUUUCGUCGCCCAUGUUUUCCUUCAACCAACCAAGAUUUUUAAAGAAUAACUUCCCUAAAAUAUAGGGAAACUAGUUUUUUUCAAGUAACUGUUUUUCACACAAAAACCUAAGUUUUCCUGGUUUUUUCUUACGUUGAUUUUCAAAUGAUAGCUAUUAUUUUUAUUUUAAAUCUUAACUACUAGUUGUAUAAUUUUCUAGAGAUAUAAAUUAAAUUUAUUUUAAAAUAUAGCUAUUAUUUUGAAUAAAUUUGUAAUAUGUUUAUUUAUUUUUAGUGUUAAUAAUAAUAUUUUGUAUUUUAUUGUUUUUAAAAGAAAUAUUUUAUUUUUAAUAACUUCAUUUUGUUUGAAAAAACAAAAAACUAAAAUAUAAUGUCACCAUACUUUCUUUGAAAAGUUAAAAUCUACAGAAAAUUCAAAAUUCAAAAACUAAAUAAAAAGACAAGGCAAACAAUCAUCACCAUAAUAUUACUGGAUAAGACAAGACGUAGCUCAUACUUGAUUUAAAAAAUAAAACAAGAAUAGAGCUUCAAGUUACCGUAAGAGCUGCUAAUGGCGAACCAUCAAAAGCUGACAGAACAAUUUCACUGUUUAAGAAAGCCUCAUAUAUUUGCCUCUGCAACACAAAGAAGUAAGUAUCAGUGAGUCUGUCUGAUUGAAAAUAUUAGACCAACGACUACGUUAAUGUGUUAAGGAGUUAAACCUGGCAAGCUGUUAACCGUAGCCAUACAACAAUUUCAUCCUUCUUUGAAAGUCUGGAGGUUGUGGCAUCAUCACCAAAGACUUCACUCUUAAGGCGCCGCAAGAAGAAAGGUUGAAUAUGCUCCCUCAAUUUCUAUUAAUCAAAAAGAGGUAAACAAGGUAAUAGUAAGAUCAUAAGCGAAUUGAUAGAUUAUUUUCUUCUUUCGGAGGAACUUAGCUUGUGUACCUUCGGUAGCAAUAUCACACACAAAAUGCAAUCUCACAAAAGAGUUCAAGACUAAGACUGAUACGUGAAAAGACUACUAACUUCAAUAUUUGCUAUAUUUCAUGUAUAAUUGAUUCAUGCUAAAAAUGGUAGACAGACAUCAGCAUUGAGAUUGUAAACAUGGUAGACAGGUACUACCAUUGAAGACGUUUCAUUUUCUGCCUAAUAGGUGAAAAGUGAUAUAGAAAAGAGCUAGAUUCACAAGGCAUGCUAAUAUAAGAGGAAGCACCGAAGUUACAAAACCUAAUAAAAACGUCUUCAGCUACUGUCCGAAAAAAUAAUAGCCACUAAUGAAAUCCUCACCUUUGCUACUGUUGAGCCUAUUCGCUUGUCUCUAUCAGAAGCAUCUUUGUCAUUUCCACGAAGAAUGUAAUGCUCAUAAUUGUCCUUAAACCUGUUGAAACUUAAAAGGAUUAAAUACAAAGCUAGCAUAUGUAAUCUGCCAUGUAUGGAUUAGGGAGAAGAUAAUUACCAUUUCUUGUCACCAAGGAGCCCGGGGCAGCUGAAAUUGAACAAAGCCCACAAUUCCUAUAAAUAAAAAGAAGAUGGAAUCAGUCGACGUCAUUAGCAUUGGAAUAAUAUAUUCAUAGAUAAAAAGACAUUGACCAACGUGAAAUACCUUUAAAUUAUUCUGGAUUGGUGUACCACUUAUAAUUAUACGGUGGGAACUUGGAAUCUCAAGCAAACUCUUGGCCCUUUGUGUGCUGGGAUUUUUAAUAAGAUGUCCCUAGAAAUAUAGACAAUAUCAAUACAACACUAUGUUACCACUUGAAAAAAGGUCAAAACACAUAGCCUCUCAGCGAUUAAUUGAUCAAAAUGCAGACCUCACAAAUAACAAAAGAUUAAUAUGCCUUACCUCGUCCAGAAUCAUGUAGUCCCAUUUGAUGUCAUCUUCGUCAUCAUCAUCAGUAUAGAGUUGAUAACCUUGCAAAGCCUUUGUAUUGUUCCGCACGAUAUCAUAAGUCGUAAGAAGAACACCUUUACCCUACAAACGUUAGAGAUAUCUCAGCUUGAAACCCCAUACUUCAAACAAUAAAAAAACAACUAUCUGGACGAGAACAAGACCAAGAAACAACUGAUAAAAUAUUUCUCAGCUUAAUAAUAUGGACAGUGCUGCAACACAGAUAAAUAGGAUAGGCUGUAACAGUUUAAGGCAAUUGAGUUUUAACAAUAGAGCAAAUAAAUUUCCAUACAAGUUCCUUGUUGAUCUUCUCGUCACCAAAUCAAGUCAAAAUGCAAAUGAAAGAUGAUUGCAUAGUUAAGGCACUUAGUGAUACCUCCCAGACUAACAAUGGAAGAAAGAACAGGUACCUGUAGAAUGUGGUUGAGAUCAUACUCUCGGGCUUUUACAGAAUUGCCGUAGUAUCUAUAAAGAGGAAGAAAAAAAAAUCAGAAACACAAUAUUUACUACAAAUAAAUAACAGGAUAUUAGUAUCUUUACACUUCAGUAAAUAACAAUGAGAGACAACUGAUCUUACUCCCUAGUCAUUUGUGAAAGUCCCACGGUAGCUAAUUCUUUCAUCCAGUGAGGCAGCAGGGUUUUUGGUGCCACUAUCAUAGCACGUUUGAUCAACUUCGAGUGGAACAAACCGGCAAGAAAGCUACAUAUCUGCAAUGCAAAUCAAACCAAAUCAGCAAAGUUACAUUAUUACCGAAAAAAAAAAAAAAAGUGCCGGUUGCAAAUUCCCUUACCUGCAUAGUUUUACCCAAACCCAUAUCAUCUCCAAGUAUUCCACCUUUCUCUUGGAUGUGCAAUGACCAGAGCCACUUCAGCCCUUCCCUCUGAUGUGGAUAUAAAAUUGUUGCAAUCUUCCCACGCAGUGUGUAAGAAGAUUUCGGGCCAGUGAAAGUGAUGGACCCUUCAUCCUCCGACACUUUCUCUUCAUAAGCAUGUGUUGCAGUGUUGUGACUCCGAGCUGGCUUUGUAGGCUUUUCAAGAUGGAUUUUCAUUUCAGCCGCCUUUUUACCAGUCAACACAACACAAUCAUCAUCAUCAUCGUCGUCUAAGUCUCUUAGCCUAGCAGCAUUCGACCUUCCCACUGAUCUUAGCUUCUCACUGACCUCUACAUGUCUAGUCGUCUUCAGACUUCGGUCGACUUCUUCGAGUUUUCCCUUCCCACGGUCAAGAUUGUAGUCCGGUCUAUACCCUUCAGACUUAGCAACAUAGUGCUGCUGACCAGGAAAAGGUUGCUGCUUUCCAACGUGUGAAACUCUUUCCCCCCUUUCUCCUGCAAACACAUUACUAGCUUUCUCUUCCGGGAUGGAAAAACCAACAUUCCCUUGCCUGUCACUGAGACAAUCAGCACCAGCUUUACUUGAUGACUCAGAUAGAUCCGAUAUCAAGGAAAAUGAGGGUUUAACACUCUCAGAAUCACUGCUUUGGAUAUCUUUUUUCUUCUUAAUAGACAUUGUCCCAAGCUUAGAGGUCAAAUCAUCCAAAAUAUCCAUAAUCUCAUUCUGUCCUCCACCACCAUGCCUUUCCUCCUUUGGCUCAAGAUGAGGUGAGGGAGAACCAAAGUCUGUGAUCAUCGAAAAGCUGGGCAAGUCACCCACCUCUGUCUUAGCUUCCUUCGAUUCCUCAUCCCAAGGUGUGAACUUGUUCCCAGUUUCAGCUCUCUCCAGUGGUGUAUCUCCUUUACCUGAUUCGAACAUCAUAUGCAACACAAACACAUCCGAGUUAGCUUAUCUAACGAAAAUCAAAGAAAAGAUACAAACCCAGAUUUGGAAGAACCCUAAUUUCAUGUUAAAGCUAAUAAGAACAAACCCUAAAAGCGAGUUGAAAACUACCUGGGGAAUCGAAAUCAGCCAAAUCAGGAUCGUCGUCUUCUUCCGAAACAUCUUCCUUCACCGAAGCCUUGCAUAAACGACGCCGUCCCGCGAGCUUUAUCUUCGUUUCUUCAUCUGAAAAAUUAAAAAUCUAAAAUCGAAUCGGAGACAAGAGGCAAACAAUCGAAGAAAGAGAGAGGGAAUGAAUAUCGUACGGGUGGAAGAAGAAGAGGGAGCGUGUUUAGGAGGCGCGGAGAGAUCCUGGAGGAGACGAUAGUGACGAUCGUUCAAGCUCUGAGGCUUUCUUCUAGUGCUGGUCGUGUUAUCCGCCAUCGCAACAGUGCCUCCUGUUGUUCUCUGGAGAUGUGUUUGCGUCUCCCGAUGAUGGAAUGGAUUGUUGUACUAAUAAAGGAGAGAAUCCCGCCUUUCCUUGGGAGCUUUUGAAAUUUGAAAGAUUUUCUGAGAGUUCCAAUACACAAAUAUGAAUGCCCAGUGGCUGCGUAUCUCCUGUUUAACGGUAAUAAUAUAUUGUUUUCCUUUUUCUUUUUUUCAGAUUAUGAUUUUCAUUUGAUUUUUAAAAUUUUUCAUUGGUUGCUGGAUUGUUUUAGGCGCGGGCUACCGUAUUAUAAUAGAGCAUAUUCGUUUAAUCGUUCGUAUUAAUGUCAUUUGAUACAUACCCUCGAACCCCGCGCGGCUCCUGCACAGAUGGGGAAAGGAAGGGGUUUAAAAGGGCAACGGAAAGAUGGUGAACUCAUUCUCUGUUGGGAUGUGUUGUUAUGAUAUAAUCUUGUUGGCUAAGUGUUGAGCUAUUUGAUAGAUCUCAACUUUGGGCUGCAUAUUGUAAAAAACGAUUUUUUUGGGUUGAAUUAAUUUUAUUCAUUCAAAAAAUAAUGUCAUAGUUUAGCAAAAAAAAAUGUCAUAUGAUACAGAACUUAUAGAAAAGAACAAAGCAAAAGUUCGAGUACAGAAGAUUAAAUUUAACAGGCGAAACGCAAAAAAAAAAAAAAAAAAACAAUUGUUUUUGACUUGGUCUCUAACAAAGGGAGACUCUCAUCCAUAUGGAAACUAUCUAAUGCGGAUAGAACCUUUUCUAUCUCUUCGAACCAUUUCUCUCCAAAGUUAAAACCGCUGCUUCCUCUCCGUUUUGCUCCGGCGUCGGUAAGGCGGCGUCAGAGGCGUGCUCUCCUCCUCUUAUCAUCCUCCUUUUGUCUUUGCUUUCUGCUUCUUCUCCACUCUUCUGUUCGAUAUACUUGAAGCUCUGGUCUUCCUUCGUCUUCACAUCUCCGGAGAGCUCGCCGUGUGUGGAGGCCGUGGGGUUCUUGGAGUUUCGGUGAGGCGUGUUCGAGUGGAGCAGUUCAGGAGGUCGGUUUUUAGGGUUUGAGGCAUCACCAGAUCUCAUUUUUCCCUUGUAGAUCUCCGGCGUGUCUCUGCGAUUGGUGGCGCGUGGCUUGCUUAGGAGGCUCCUUCUCCCGGAUCUGUGUUAUUCUUGUUGUUAUUCUUCGUUGCGAUCUCCGGGUUAAGUGGGGCGGUGGCGCGUGAGUUCACUUGUCUGCUUGGUGUCUCGCGGAGAAGCCUCUCGUCGUCAUCAUCCAAGGGGUUCAGUGUUUUCUGGCGCGUGCAAGGUGGUUAUGGUCGUCGUGUGUCGGUCGUGGCUCCUUGAUGUCCGCGUGUGCAAGUCUGUAGCUCGGCGGAGACGAGGAGUCGUCUAUGGCUCUGGUCUAAGUUUGAGUUUCCGUUGCUUCCCCUUUGCUCUUCUCUGGUCACGGCAUCUCGGUAUGCUCCUCGUGUUUGGAUUUUCGCGUAAUCUCAGCAUCGAGCUUGGUGUGUUGCCCUCUUCCUGAAGUUUCCGAUGGUCUACGUCAACUUCUGGAUGAGCUCAGAGGCAGUCAGCUCUCUGGUUCUCAGAGGUUGGGCUUGGCGAGUCAUAGGAUUCCUUAUGGUCUAGUGGUCCUUGGCUUGAGGACUCCUUGCUUUGAAUUUCAACAUCCCAGCGCUUGGUUCUUGGUCAUUUGAUUUCCCGAGUGGUUGUAAUUCUAACUGUUUUCUGUGCAGGUCACCUUCCAGCAUACUCGUGAUGUGGCCACCAUUCAAACCCGUCCUUUUAGUAUAGUCUCCAGUCGUAUGUUUAGUCUUUGUUGUUCUGUCUUGUGUUUAGUUUGUGGUAUGUGUUGUGUGUUCUUGUGCUGUGUUAUCGGUUGUGCCCGAGCAUAAUUCAUCAGCGGUUCACUAGUGAGGAAAGAGCGGAGACUAUGUUCUCCCGCCCCGAUUAACCGGGACCAGCCGGUGAUCACGGAUGUCGGGUCCGGGGUUAUGAUAAGCGGCUUGUCUGUGUAGUCCUUCUUUAGAGUUGGGUCCGGAGCUUGCGAAGUAACCCGGCUGUGUAUCCUUCGGAAGUGUAGCGGGGCAGUCUUAGGUCGUACGGAUUUUACUCAAAUCUCUUUUGUAACCGUUGUUUAUGCCCAGGGUGGAUGAAUGAAUUUUAUUUAUUAAAAAAAAAAAAAAAAAAAGGGAGACUCUCGUGCACUGCAACGCUCCCGCAGAACUUGCGUUUUUUAGCGUUUGCGACAGUGAACCACUAAUAUGGGCCGGGCCUUUCCAAUUCCUUUUGAAAGGCCGAAACAAGCCCGUUCUCAAAGUAAUCACGCACCGAAUAUAGUUUCGAUUUACAUGAAAAGUCAAUAAAAUCUUUUUGACAUAAGAGUAUAACUGUAUAAGGUUAAAAAAACCAUGAUUAUGAUGUCUUAACGGCUAAUUGGCUGAGUAGCCACAAAAAAAAAUCGAGGGAAUAUACAAGAUUUUGACGUAAUGCAUUCCUUCGCUUUUUGCUUGCUUUUCUGUCGGUUAUGUCCUUCUACAUAACAAGUUACCGGUUCCAACUCAUGGAGAAAAUAACGUGGUGAUUUUAUGUCCCUUAAUAACAAUGACAUACCUUAGAAAGCUUGUGGGUAAACCAUAUUCAAAAGCAAAGGAAGGAAAACAUGGAGAGAAACGAAUUGAUGAAAAGCUUAAGUGUGAAAGAAACAACGGUGUUUAACGGAGAAUGCAAGGAUGUAGUUACAUACUAUAUAUUAUUAGAUAGAAUAAUAUAAGUUCAAAUAUAUGGCAGACGUUUCCAUUCGACAUGACUAACGUAGAAUAGAACCCUGUUUGUAAUUUAGUAAUAUAAUCACGAACAAAGACAGUGGAGUGGGCGGUUGGGAAGAGGCAAUGAUGUAUUUACUGCAAUAAAUUUACAAUUGUGGGUUACACCUAUUCCGUUUUUAAGAAUAGGAGAAAGCCACAAGAAUGUAGUUCCAUACUAUAUAUUUUAGAUAGAAUAAUAUAAGUUCAACUAUAUCGGAGACGUUUCCAUUCGACAUGACUAACGUAGAAUAGAACCAUGUUUAUACUUUAGUAAUAUAAUCAUAAACGAAGACGGUGGAGUGGGCGGUUGGGGAGAGGCAAUGAUGUAUUUACUCUAUUGCAUGCGUCGUCACCUCACCUACCACACACGUCAACCUUCUAGAUAACACUUGUAGUCGAUCACUUUUGUGAUUCUCUAUUUCUAUUUCAUUUAGUGUAAAUGAAAUGGAAAUGGUCUUAUUUUCACUCCAUCUCGGUUUAAAUAUAUAGUUGGAUUGUGUAAGUUUGUACGUUUGGAGUUCAUAUAUGAGGUAUUUGCAAUAAUUUAAUUUCAGUAAAAUUUGGGUUGUCUAUUGAUUAGUGUUUAUAUUUUUCUAACUUGGUAUUAGUGUUCAUAUAAUCAUGAACGAAGACGGUGGAGUGGGCGGUUGGGGAGAGGCAAUGAUGUAUUUACUGCAAUAAUUGCUAGAAAAAUAUAAACACUAAUCAAUAGACAACCCAAAUUUUAUUGAAAUUAAAUUAUUGCAAAUACCUCAUAUAUGAACACCAAACGUACAAACUUACACAAUCCAACUACAAUUUUAAACCGAGAUGGAGUGGAAAUAAGACCAUUUCCAUUUCAUUUACACUAAAUGAAAUAGAAAUAGAGAAUCACAAAAGUGAUCGACUACAAGUGUUAUCUAGAAGGUUGACGUGUGUGGUAGGUGAGGUGACGACGCAUGCAAUGGAGUAAAUGGCUAUUAGUUGUUUACAGUUAUUCCAUUUGAAAGAACAGGGGGAAGCCACGUUACUAAUUGUAAUUACCAAGAUAUUUUCACUGUGUACAUUCAAACAAGUGGUCUAAGUUAAAACAUUUUAUCCAUAAAAGGUGUAUUCCAUUUAUUUACUACUGUAACUCCAUCUGAACAAUUCCAAAAAAAAGAAGAAGGUGAUGAAGCAAGGUAGUUAAUGCUGGAAGGAGACAAUCAGGUUAGUUGUCCUCAGAAUACUGUAAUUAAUGGUGUUUCAGAUAACGCUUGUUUGUUGGAAUAACAUUAUGUAGACAGUGUAAUAGAAUAGAUAUUGAGAUAUACUAAUUAUACUGUAACUUUUUACUGCAGAUGACGAGCUAAGAUAGAGUUUUACUGAUUAUCGGUUCGUGGGUCCGUGACCAAUACAAACGAUGGAUUUUCGAACCGGACAUAUCUAACCAACUCGAGCACUAUAUCCGACUUCGUACCGGGAUGACGUUGCGUGAGUUACUUACAGCCGUUAGGGAGCGACUACAAGUAACAACCAAAGGAGUGACGUUGAAACUAUCCUAUCAAUAUCCAGAGUGGGUCUCAUUCGACGACCCUGAGUUGGGUCUGCUUGUAUACAUAACAGAUGAUAUAGAAGUGUGGGGAUUCAUCGAGAUGAGAAGAGCAAUAGAGAAGGUUAAUCUGUUUGUCUCCUUAGUUUGCCCCACAGGAGGACUACAGGUCGCGCGCGAGACUGCCCAUAUGAACCUAACAAUGGCAGCACGGGUGAAUCCAACAAUGGACGAAUCAUGGCACGACUUUGCGAUAUCGGAGACCCCACUGACCCUUCCACAAACAGAGCCGAAUGCAAACAUACGUGUCAUAGAAGUCCCUGAUGAUUCUAUUUCACGUCAAGAAGGUGGUGUGAAUUGCACGGGCCGUCGUGCUAUUCCAUUCACAAAGGGUGGAAUAGAAAUCUGAGAGCCUAACCAGGCCAUUCGUCUUAGAAGUCCACAUAUUGCAGCUACGAACAAGGGGAAGAACAAAAUGCCUAGUGAGUUAUCCAGUGACACUGACUCAGAUGAUGAUAUGGCGGUCCCCGUUUUGCGAACGUCGGUUGAUAUAGGCGAAGGAGCGAACAUGCCAGUGCGUAGACGUUUAAUAUUUGGGAUUCCAAAACCAAUAGAAGACCCUAAUAAUAGUUCAACAAGUUCACAAGAAGGUGAACAGAUGCCACCUGAUGACGGAAUAAAUUGUAGAAGAUUUGAUCAAGCUUUACAUGACAUGCUGAAUGAUCCAGAAAAUCCGGCUCUGCUUGGUCGGGAUGCCCCUCCGGUUUUCAACGCGCGCCUAGUAUCAGGUGAGUUAAACCGUCGUUGCCCAUGCAACUGUAAAUAGUAUGGAACAUGUUUUCUAACUAUACUAUAUGGAAUAACUAACUCAUUGCUUCACCUUCUACCUAUAUAGGUGUCGACUCCGCACUAUCUGAUGUUCACUACGAGGGAGAUGAGAUAUUUGUUGGGCGAGUCUUCAAGUCUAAAGCGGACUACAAAAUAAAGCUGGCCAUACAUGCAAUAAAUCGAAAGUUCCAUUUCAAGACCACCAGAUCAAAUACGUCGCUGCUUGUGAUUCAGUGUGUUGGACAAUCAUGUCCAUGGCGCGUUUAUGCAAUGCUGUUAGAUGGUACUGGUAACUUCCAAGUCCGACAAGCUUGUCUAACUCACACAUGCAUUGUUGACGAGCGUCAGAACUUCCACAAACUUGCGACAACACAAGUCAUAGGAGAGAUUCUACGGUCCCGCUUUGUAGGAAUUAAGAAGGGCCACAGUACUGCAGUAAUAAGGAAAAUACUGCUUGAUGAAUUCCAUGUGAAUGUAUCAUAUUGGAAAGCUUGGCGCGCAAGGGAGCUAGCCAUGGAACAGGCCAUGGGGACAAUGGCCGGGACCUAUUCAUUGAUUCCAGCAUAUUUGGGAUUGUUGCAAUGCUCAAACGAAGGCACCCUUUGCUUUAUGGAGCAAAACGAUGAACCAGAGGGGGGCACACGCUUUAUAUACUGCUUUGUUGCUUAUGGAGCUUCUGUAGCAGGGUACGCCUUCAUGAGGAAAGUAGUCGUUGUUGACGGCACUUCAAUGAAAGGGAAGUAUGGCGGGUGCCUCUUAUCCGCAGCCACACAUGACGGAAAUUUCCAAAUAUUUCCUCUUGCUUUUGCGGUUGUUGAUAGCGAAAACGAUAAUGCAUGGGAAUGGUUUUUUCCAGAAGCUGAGCACAUUUGUCAGUGACUGCCCGGAGCUUGUCUUUAUCUCGGACAGACAUGCUAUCAUUUACACCGGCCUUCGUAAGGUAACAAUUGCAAGGAAACCCUAAAUAUAAAUCCAUUAUGUUAUAUUCUAUGUAGUAAAUGGUAUAGUAAUGUUUUCCAUAGGUGUACAAAGAAGCACACCAUGCAGCGUGUGUGGUCCAUCUAUUGCGGAAUAUUCAAAUCCUCUAUAAGUCACCGAGACUUGGAAACCUAAUGGCCGCUGCAGCUCGCGCAUUCACUGUCACGGAAUUUAACAGGCUGUUCCUACAGAUACAGACAAUUAACCCUGCCUGUGAUGCAUAUCUAGUGGAUAUAGGUUCGUACUAUUCCAUUUACUAAUACAUGUAAUGCUAUGGCACGUAGUGAUAUAUACAUUCUAUUCCAUUUUCAAACCCAUUUGACCCCAAUAUCUUCGUCACAGGGUUUACGCACUGGACAAGAGCACACUUCAAAGGUCAAAGAUACAAUAUAAUGGACUCUAGCAUAGCUGAGUCAUGGAAUGACGCCAUUAAAGAGGCAAGAGAGUACCCACUGAUCAUGAUGCUCGAGUAUAUACGUACAACGGUGAUGGGUUGGUUGGCAUUGCGUCGUGCAAAAGCAAACAACGAGAAGGGAACAUUGACACCAAACAUGCGUAAACUUGUUGAAGAAAUCUAUGACCUCUCAACUGCCUUAGCUGUGCGUGACAUAAGUGAACUAGAGUUCCAAGUGCAUGACCCUAGGGGAGAGUGUUUCACCGUUAACUUAGCCGUUGGGAGUUGUUCUUGUAGAGAGUAUGACGAAAUUGGAAUCCCCUGUCUGCAUGCUCUAGCAGCAGCCUCGAAGGUUGGGUUCCCAUCUGACGCAAUGGUUGCACCAGCGUAUCGGGUCCCAACAUGGAGACAAGGAUUUGCUGGAAAAAAUUAUCCAGUUCCUUCGGUUGGUGGGUCACAAGUAGGUUCUUCUACAACGGCCGAACUUCUUCCCCCUGCAGUCCGCAGACCAUCUGGACGUCCUAGGAAGGUUCGCAUAAAGUCUCGUGGAGAGUUCAAGGUAACAAAGUCCACACUAAAAUAUCAUCUUGAUUUUUUAUGGAGUGAAAUAGGAAUGUUAGUUUCGAUUUUAAAGGCUAGCAUAGUGAAUGUGAAAUAGUAAAUUAAUUUUAACGUAUGGAAUAGUAUCUCAACGUGGUCAUAUAGAAUGAAAAUUAACUAAAUUCUUAAAAUACCUUGAAGAAG